UACGAAGGGGGCUAGCGUUGUUCGGAAUCACUGGGCGUAAAGCGCGCGCAGGCGGAUUGAUAAGUCGGGGGUGAAAUCCCGGGGCUCAACCUCGGAAUUGCCUUCGAUACUGUCUGUCUUGAGUCCGGGAGAGGUGAGUGGAAUUCCUAGUGUAGAGGUGAAAUUCGUAGAUAUUAGGAAGAACACCAGUGGCGAAGGCGGCUCACUGGCCCGGUACUGACGCUCAUGUGCGAAAGCGUGGGGAGCAAACAGG
rnacentral:rRNA from 1 species